rnacentral:rRNA from 1 species
AACGAACGCUGGCGGCAUGCCUAACACAUGCAAGUCGAACGAGACCUUCGGGUCUAGUGGCGCACGGGUGCGUAACGCGUUGGAACCUUCCCUUAUGUUCGGAAUAACUCCCCGAAAGGUGUGCUAAUACCGGAUAAUUUCUUCGGACCAAAGAUUUAUCGCCUUUGGAUGGGCCCGCGUUGGAUUAGCUAGUUGGUAGGGUAAAAGCCUACCAAGGCGACGAUACAUAGCUGGUCUGAGAGGAUGAUCAGCCACAAUGGGACUGAGACACGGCCCAGACUACUACGGGAGGGAGCAGUGGGGAAUAUUGGAAAAUGGGCGAAAGCCUGAUCAAGCAAUGACGCGUGAGUGAUGAAGGCCUUAGGGUUGUAAAGCUCUUUUAGAGGGGAUGAUAAUGACAGUACCGGGAGAAGAAGCACCGGCUAACUCCGUG